CUCUCUGACGGUCAACAUCUCGCGGAGUGCUGUUGCCUAGUGGGGAUUACCUAGUAAUUUGUAUGUGUUAUCAGUGAUAAGUGUGUAUGAAGCGUCGCGCCCGCCCGCCAUGUCUCUAGCCGUCGUAUUCACCCUGCUGACAACCCUCUUGCAUUUAGGAACCGGGUACAGAGGGAAGCCGGGUUCUGAGAACCCUUACUACGGCCGACUCAUCGGUCAGCUGCAGGAGUACGCCCACGGCAUCAAGGGCACAGUGUACGCCGUGGACGAGAGCACAAUGUUCGUCAAGGGCUUCUCCUACGACGGCACAGGACCGGAUGCGUUCUUUUGGGUAGGAAACACCGCCCGGCCAUCUCCGGACGGCUAUAUUGUACCAUACCCUGAGGACUACAUUGGCAGGGAACCUCCUAUCCUGAACGCCUACAACAAGACCGAUGUUAUCCUGAGACUGCCCAAUGGCAAGCGUAUCCGAGACAUGCGGUGGCUCUCCGUCUGGUGUCGACGCUUCACAGUUAAUUUCGGAGAUGUAUUUAUCCCUUCCAACCUGGAAGUACCCAAGGCUAGAGUGCUUCCAGAGUUCCGAAGGCUGGCUCAUGGAUUGCGAUCAGGCAACAUCACGGUGCUUGACGCCAAGACCUUCUAUAUCCCCAACCUCCACUAUGAUGGUGCUGGCCCUGACGCCUACUUCUGGGUCGGAAACGGCACGGAACCUACCCCACUAGGCAUCAAAGUGGCUAACGAGAUGGGAAGCCUGGAACCACUGAGGGGCUACCAGGGAGAAGACAUUGAGAUACAGCUGCCAGGAAACCUGACAGUAUACGACAUUGACUGGCUAGCAGUCUGGUGUGUCCAGUAUCGGCACAACUUCGGCCAUGUCAACAUCCCAAAGGACCUGGAUGUUCCUCCUGCUCUCGGCCAGACCAAGAUCACUCCGCCAUGGUGGUACAAUCCGACGAGCAGUACAGCAUCAAGCCCAACGACGGAGGGAGUGCCGGCAUACACUAACUGUCGGGAGAUGCUGGAUGAACGGCUUCAGGUCAUGUGGGAGAAGCAAGGAGACUACAUCGAGAUCCAACUGGCUGGUAGGAUAAGAGAGGACCAGUAUCUGUCCUUUGGCAUCAGUGGAGAGUAUGGAAGACCAGCAAUGGUUGGAGCGGACGUGGUGGUAGCGUUUUACGACAUAGACCAGAAGACAUUCCAUGCCGUUGACUACUACAUCACGGCCUCUGCACAGUGUGACGGCAAGAAUGGUGUGUGCCCUGAUGAACGGCUGGGGGGACGGAAUGAUGUCACACUUAUCUCAGGCGAGAGGAAGAAUGGAGUAACUAUGAUCAAGUACCGCAGGCCUCUACAGACAAAUGAGCCUAUCAACGACAGGCCCAUCCCGAGCGAGGGAGAGGUAUCCAUCAUAGCCGCCAUUGGUCCUCUCAAUUCACGCAAAGAGGCCAAUGCGCAUGACUUCCGAGACAGAACGUUAGAUGAUAUUCGAAUUGACUUCAGUUCAAGAAACGACCACUCGUGUGUCAACUCCUUGUUCAACCUUCCUGAUGAAGACGCCAUCACACCAUGGAAACCAGAGAUCAUCAUUGGUGAAACUUCCUUCUCCGUUCGUAUCGGACCCACUGGAGGGAAACGAGGUUACACACCCAUCACAGGUCAUCCCUCCUGGGGUAUCGCAUGGUGGAUCAAUGACAAGCUCAUUCCUGAGAUAUAUGUCGAGAGAGGGCAGACCUACACAUUUGUUGUCGAAGGAGGAAAUGAUCCAACAAAACCAGCUCACUACCACCCGUUCUAUAUCACCGAUAGCAGUGAGGGAGGAUUUGGUCAAAAGUCAGAGAAGGAUCAACGUCAGCAGAGGGUGUUUGCCGGAGUCAGUUAUGACUCAGAAGGUUACCCAUACCCGACUGCUGCUGGUCGUUACUGUGAGUGGGCUCAUAAGACCGUAGACAAAUCUUUAGAUACGCCCACAUUCUCGGAGUUCUUCCAGACUCUGCGCCUGAUGUGUGACGAGGGCGAUGCAGCCUACCUCAACUGGACAGUUGCACAAGAAACUCCAGACCUUAUCUACUAUCAGUGUUACACCCAUAAAAAUCUGGGUUGGAAGAUCAAUGUAGUGGAACCGGGGUACAUCGCCUCUCGGAAUGGCACAGCCACUUCUUCCCUGCCCCUCAAUACCCUAUCUGUGCUACUACCAGUCGUUAUCUCCACUCAAACUCUUCUCUACAGAUGAAUGUUACCUAAAUAAUUAUAUUCAGUAUUGUUGCCUGGAAUCCAUUUUGAACAAACCAGAUUUCACGAUUUUAAUUUUUGGAAUGUCUGAUCAAUUAACGUAAAAUGAAAAAAUGUUUAUGAAAAAUAAAAAGCUUUUUGUACCAUAUUGUAUCAAAAUGUGAUUUAAGUAUGGAGAGAAGAACAGGAGGGGAUGGAUAUUACAAAUUUGGUAAAUGAGAUAUAUGUAAAUGCUAUACAGCACUGGGAUGAGCAAUUUUGCUAAUCUAAUAUACAUCAAAAUCUGGGUGUAGGAAUUAUUUGUUAAAAUAAUUCACAAUGUUUUAGUCACUCAUAAUAUAGAUUAAUGCAUUUUUUUUUCUGAAACUUUCCUGGACAACAAACUGUCAUUAAGCAAACCUUAUGGCAUAGAUUAUUUCUUUGGUCACUAUUAUAGCUAUGUCUAUGCUUCAUUAUUAUAAAUUUUUGUGAAUCAAAACAAAAAGCUAAUUUGGUGUCCAAUUAGGCUCUCAUUAGGAACAUCUAAUCUAGAUUGGCAAAUCCUAAGACUUGUUACUUGACAUUAGCAAUGGUUAUUGGAAUAAAACCUUCUGCACUUUCAGCUGUUUAAAUUUCACUAGGAUCUGAAAUUUGAGGUAUAUAUAUUAUAUAUAUAUUUGAGGUGUAUACCUUGCCAACAAUGGAAACAAAAGGACAACAUGAUGUUCUUUUUUACUGUUUUAUAUCUGCAAGUAGAACCUACACUGCGUACAGCAAAACAUCAAUUUUAUCACUUACAUUUGGCCAACCAAAUGGAUGCCCAGUAUUAGCAUUACAAAUCGCAAAUUUUGAAAUGGGAUAAUCAAAUAAUUAUAUAAUAACUCUAGCUUACUGUGGAGGGUUAAAACUUAAAGUGGGUGUAACUGUGUCAAUAUUAAAGGCAAGCUUAAAUGUGGGGAAUGAUAAUAUUCUGCUUGCGCUGACUAACUGGUAAAGGCAGGAUCAGAGUAAGCUAUCUUCAUCCAAGGUGUCAUGGCUAAAACAGUAUCUGUAAUCCUCCUCAUGGUGGCUGUAACUCAGGAUUUCUGUAGAAGGAGAUUUUGAAAUAGAAUUGAAUGGAAAAUAGAGAUCCCUCUUGCAAUUAUGAUGGUCUUCAAAACUCUUUAUUAAACCCACUCAUAAUUGAAAACUGACUUAAAGACAGUGAACCAAAGCCAUCACUGAACCAAAGUAUGUUAGAAGCAAUCUGUGAUUUCAAUGGUGCCAAAAUUAAUUUAUGAAGCAUGAACUAAUUACAAAGAAUAAAGGAUUACAACAUUUUUUAAUGCUACUAAAAGGAGUUAAAUGCAGUCAUGAUCCAAUCAUGAUGAUGUAUAAGUAAAUGUCGCCAUCCACCUAUUUUGAUCCUAAUUCAGCGUAGAAGACCAUGUCGGGGUAUGCCGGACUUCUGAAGCAUAUUUAUGGAGGACAAACAUUAUUCCAAGUUAAAUAUGGAAACCUCAGGUUUUUAACUUUCCCAAUUAAGGAAAAAGACAAAACGUUACCUCACUCGAUCCUGUAAUGGUUGUUGGGACAUACUUCAAUCUUUACAACUUUGACGUCCUCAUCAAGGUUAUUAUCUGUGCUGACAUGACCUACCCUAAUCAAUACAGUAAUUGUCGUUGGAAUACAUUCCCAUCUUUGCAACCAAUUCAUUACAUGAGUUCUGGAAGCUUGUGUGCUCCUGCAUGGAUGGAGAUGUCCUUAAUCAUUUCUGAGAUUAGUUGUGGUUUGAAGUAUUGUAGCUAUUCAAGGGAUUACAUUACAUUAAUUUUACCGUAUUUCUUACAAUUUGAAUAAAAUGUUAAUUAAAAUCAAUACUCCAUAAUGUAUUGAAGACAAUUUAUUCCAUUCCCUUUAUAGUUGCUAUUGCAGUUAGGUGUCAGCACAAUAGUGCAGCUCUUAUAUAAUGUGCUCUAUAGUGUUUGUACUUGUACCUGUUGUAUUAUAAAUCUCAGGUAUUUUUAAUGUUAUAAUAGGACUUUUAAAAAAACUCUUUAUAAAAUGUACACUUUAUAAACUUGUUUAUAAAACUUAUUUAUAUUAAAUUUAUUUGUUCAAAAUAUCAACACAGUUGCUUUAGUUUUGUUAAGGUUAAACACAAUGAAACAACCUUACCUUCAUAAUAGUAAGGAUUAAUGAAAUAUAUUUUUACAAUCUUAUCUUAUUUUAUUUUAUUUCAGUCUCCUGCCUAUUUUAGGGUGUGUACUUUUUGUCCCCUCCUGAAAAAUCUAUAUUAAGCAAAAUAAAAAUGACUCUGUAGUGAUGUAUCCUAUUUAAAUCAAUAGUAAUUGAAAACAAGAAAGCAUUUUCAUUAUGAAAAUAAAUUAAAAUGACAUUUUUUGUUGGAAGAUGGUUUGUUGUGGAUUCCAUGGCAGCUGCAACAUAAUGUGGAGACUACCAACAAAGAGAGAAUAUCGGUGCAAAACAUAUCAAAAAGUGAAAAUUAUUGUAAAGGAAAAGUGUUGUUGGUGUUUGUAUUUAAUGACUAUGUAAAUAAUAUUUCAACAGAUUUUCAUGUUCUUGUAACUGUUCACAGAAUUAUAAGGCAGAGUGUUUUGUACUAGAUUUAGGUUCAAACCACAUAACAACCUACCAAAACAAAUAUUGAUUGCUUUAUAAGUUUAAUGGCAUGGAUAUAAUAUUCAGUGUUUUCUGAGGUUUCAGGAUUAUGAUUAUGUAGAUUAAAUCUUUUGUCUUAGUCCUUAGAGUGCCAGACAAGUUGCAGGGUGCAUGUGGAAGAAGAGCCGGGCUUUAGAUAAUAUGGUAGUACAAGAAAAGCCAGAGGGAAAUUGGCGGUAUUGACAUAGUUUGGGAAAACUAUCAUAUUUUAACUAUUUAUCAACAAAAAUACAUUUGCUUGCAAUAAGACUGUUUGUAUCAAGGCAAUAUUAUCCUUAUAAUAGAGGGCUAGGAAUCUGUUUGUAUUUAAAAAAUGUUGUACUUACCAAAAACCUUUCUGUAAAUUUUCCACCUCAAUCCCAAAAUUUGUGUGGUAAACGUUUUCCCACUUAUAAAACGUAGUAUUUGUUUAAUAUACAAUAAUACUUAAGUAUACAUACACAAACAAUGAAACUAUAUCUUUGAAAGUAAACUUUUGCAUCAACUUUCAAAAUAAAACUGUAAAUUUGAUAUUUACACUUGUGAUAUGAAAUUAUGUUAAAGUUGUAAAUCGCCUAAGCUUACACAUCUAUGGGUGUGCUUUAGAAAUAGACCCGUUUUACCUUGACAAAUUUAAGUUUUAAAAACCUUCUAGCCAUUUCAAUUUAUUUUGGGUUUUAGUGUGAAAAGUUAACACUUAUGGAAUGAUAAACGGCAAGGAUAAAGUCCCCUCUUGCAAUCUCUUGCAAAUAAAAAUGCCCUCUUCCUUUUCUCUCCAACCUGAACACUUUUCUUAGUACAAAUUCAGCAGUAUUGGGUAUUUUGGUUAAAAACAUUGUUCAGCCAACAUUAUCACAAUUAUUUGAAGAAUUCCCUGGUCUGCAACUUCCAGGUGGAGUGUACAGUACAGUUCUACAUUCCUGCAAGUGUAGCCACUCUUGCAAAAUUUUAAUAAGUAGCAAUUGCACUAUAUCAGGGUAUUUAUGGAAGUAUCAAUCAUUUCUAAUAACAAUAAAAACAAACUUUGAAAUCUUAAACAAUUUUUUACUUAAGAGAAUUAAAUUUGAGAUUGUGUCCUAGUCGUACAUUGGCUUUUUAUACACAUUUCCGUUAUGAGCUUGUAGUCGGACAUUGGUUUUUCUUGUACAUUUAUCUGACAAGCUUCUAGUUGGACGUUGGGACUCUAAAGCUUUACAAAACAAAUACAUUUGUAAAGUCUCAUAAGCUAAACAUUGCUUAUAACUCAUGUAAAUGGAGGGAAGCUGGGAAAUUUCCAAGUGUGCUGUUUACUCACAUGUAAAAAAUGUAAGUUUACCCCUGUUUUGUAAGUUUGUGUUACCUGCAAUAGCCAAAACUCUAUUGUAUUUCAUAAGUUUUUACAAUAGUCUGUAACAAAGUAAGUUUUCUUCAAAAAAGAAUACUCUUUAAGAAAUCCCACAGUUUUAAAUAUCCUUAAAUGAGUACUUGAACUGUUACUUUUGUGGAAACUAUGUUCUCAAAAGCGGGUUUAGAAAAGCUUUUGCUAAUCUUAUGUAAAAUUUUGUAUUAUUAACAUAUAUGACUAACAUGAUACAAAUAUUUUUACAUACAUACAAUACUUAUCUAUAGCAUUAGUAAAAAUUAGAUAUCCCAUUACAAUUUUUAACUGUUACGUUUAAAAGGAAAUUAGAAAAUCAUUUUAGUGAACAUGCAAAAAUGUUUAACUAUUU
rnacentral:misc_RNA from 1 species